AUGGGGAGGUCGCCGUGCUGCUGCCACGACGUGGGCGUCAAGAAGGGGCCGUGGACGGAGGAGGAGGACAAGACGCUGGUGGAGCACAUCCAGAAGCGCGGCGGGCACGUCGGCAGCUGGCGCGGCCUGCCCAAGGCCGCCGGCCUCAACCGCUGCUGCAAGAGCUGCCGCCUCCGGUGGACCAACUACCUCCGCCCCGACAUCAAGCGCGGCAACUUCUCCGACGACGAGGAGCGCCUCAUUAUCACCCUCCACGCCGGUCACGGCAACAAGUGGGCGACGAUCGCGACGCACCUGGAGGGCCGGACGGACAACGAGAUCAAGAACCACUGGAACACGCACAUCCGCAAGAAGCUCCUACGCAUGGGCGUCGACCCCGUCACCCACCAGCAGCUGCCACCCGACCACCAGCUCGACGGCUCCUCCGCCGCUCUCCUCCCCGAGGCGCUCCUCUGGGCAGCGGCGGCAGCGACCCUCGGCGGCCUGGACAUCGGCACUCUCAGGCAAGCGCAGCUUCUGCAGCACCUCCUCCAGGCCGGCUCCAACAACGACGCAACUAACCUCGUAGCCAACUUGAUGGCUGCAUCAAAUGUUGGGCUGAACUCAAGCAACAGCAUAGUUCCAAACAUCCUGCUCCAGGACAAGUUUAACAUGCUGCCUGGUACGAACUAUCUACAGCCGGGCUACCUCUGCAACACCUCCAAUUUUGCAGAGCAAGACGUGGUGCAGCAGCAGCUGAUCAAUGCUAUGUCUCCGGGAACGAGUUCCUUUGCAGCAGCUGAACCAGCUGAUCAGCUCUGCAACACUGCUGCAUUCACAGCGCGUGAUAUUGCACCGGGGAUUGACAUGCUGCCGGUGCAGGAGUUCGCCGGCUUGAUGGAGCCCAUGGAACAACUACCCAAUCUAUGCUCCCUAGAGAGCGAUUCUUUCUGGAAGGAACUACUUGAGGACGGCUAUCGUCUAUAG
rnacentral:rRNA from 1 species